rnacentral:rRNA from 1 species
CAGCAGGCGCGUAAAUUACCCAAUCCCAAUCCGGGGAGGUAGUGACAAGAAAUACUGAUAUUGAUCCCUACGGGAACAAUGAUUGGAAUGAGAACAAUUUAAAAAACUUAACGACUAACAAUUGGAGGGCAAGUCUGGUGCCAGCAGCCGCGGUAAUUCCAGCUCCAAUAGUGUAUAUUAAAGUUGUUGCGGUUAAAAAGCUCGUAGUUGGAUUUCGGGGAGUUUAAGUUAUAGAUUGUAAUUCCAAUGGAAUUAUGUAUUUAUUAUUUAUUCUUUCCUUCCCUUUAUUACCUUGAUUCUUUAAAUUUUAAAGAAUUGGAGUAUUAAAUAGUUUACUUUGAAAAAAUUAGAGUGUUCAAAGCAGGCAUAAUUGUACAUUGAAUAUUACAGCAUGGGAUAAUUAAAUAGGACGUUUCAUCUUAUUUUUAUUGGUUUGAAAGAUGGAAUUGUAAUGAUAAAUAGGGACAGUCGGGGUUACUUGUAUUUGAUCGCUAGGGGUGAAAUCCUAUGAUUGAUCAAAGACAAACUACUGCGAAAGCAUUUAACAAGGAUGUUUUCAUUAAUCAAGAACGAAAGUUGGGGGAUCGAAGAUGAUCAGAUACCGUCGUAGUCUCAACUAUAAACAAUGUCGACUUUGGAUAAAGAAAUAUUACAUGGAUGAUUUUCUUUGCACAAACUAGAGAAAUCUUAAGUAUUCAGACUCCGGGGGGAGUAUGGUCGCAAGAGGUAAA